AUAAACGACUCUCGGCAACGGAUAUCUCGGCUCACGCAUCGAUGAAGAACGUAGCAAAAUGCGAUACUUGGUGUGAAUUGCAGAAUCCCGUGAACCAUCGAGUUUUUGAACGCAAGUUGCGCCCGAAGCCAUUCGGCCGAGGGCACGUCUGCCUGGGUGUCACG
rnacentral:rRNA from 1 species